UACAGAGAUGGCAAGCGUUGUUCGGAAUCACUGGGCAUAAAGGGCACGUAGGCGGGCUGGUAAGUCAGGUGUGAAAUCCCUCGGCUCAACCGAGGAAUUGCGCCUGAUACUGCCAGUCUUGAGGGCAGGAGGGGAGAGUGGAACUCUUGGUGGAGCGGUGAAAUGCGUAGAUACCAAGAGGAACGCCGGUGGCGAAAGCGACUCUCUGGCCUGCUUCUGACGCCGAGGUGCGAAAGCUAGGGGAGCAAACAGG
rnacentral:misc_RNA from 1 species